rnacentral:snoRNA from 1 species
UGUCUCGUGUGAUGAUAUAAUUUGCGAUCUAGGUCAGGAUAACCUGGAGCACCGCCAUGCUCUACUAUAGGUAUCUUGAGACAUGCGAACAACUUUUAUUCUGACGAAU